CUUCGUGCUGGACGAAUACCCGGCCAGCACGGGACGAGAUAGUGAAGUGCGAUGUAAAGCCCCGUAGACUUCUUCAGAAAUGAAGUCGCGCGGAGGGGAAUGGUUCACUUAUACUACUAACAUGUUUAUUUUUGAAGGAAAAUAGUUAACAAAAUGUGAAAAAUAUCAAACCUUUGUGUUAUUUUCAAGUUUUAUUAAACGAUGAAGUCAAAUUUAAAAAAAUGAAAUAUCAACUGCUACAAUGAUUCUGAUGAUAAUAUGAACACCGGAUAUGAUGACAAGAUUCGUCGCCAACAUGAGACGUUCGUUCUUCCACACAGUCGGGACGAGAUAUUGUAAAGAACGUGAAAAGAAGAAAUAGAAAAAGAAGAAUAAAAAAAAAAUAUCAACAUAAAACAAAACAAACACACAAAAAAAAACAACAUAAUGAAGAAAGAAAAAAUCCGUACAUUUGUGUAAAUAGAAAUAAUUAUAAGAAAAAAAUAAAAAAAAUAAAACAGAGCUAUAUUUUUUCCUACAACGAAAAUACAGUAGUAAAAGAAUGUGAAGGAACUCUGCUGUAUUAUCAUCACCCUUUUCUUCUCGAUAUGAUGAGGAAAAUUCCCGUCUAUGUUGGAGACAAUCAGCAGCGUGACGUCAUUUUCCGUGAAGAUGUAUCGACCAAUAGGAACGGCUCACAUCGCUCUCUUUAUUCUCCUGGGUUUCUGUGGUGACAAAGGCUGGGCGGUGCGGCUGCAGAAGUUCCGAGUGAAGCCGGAGAGCGUCGAGGUGACGGAGGGAGAGGAUGGAGGCUGCGCUGCGUCGUCGAGAACCAGCAGGGGAAGGCGCAGUGGACCAAGGACGGC
rnacentral:lncRNA from 1 species